AGCUCCAAUAGCGUAUAUUAAAGUUGUUGCAGUUAAAAAGCUCGUAGUUGGAUUUGGGACUGGAGUCGUCGGGUCGGCCGCGAGGUCUGUUACUGGACGGCUCCGUCAUUUCAUCUCUCGGAGACCCGUCGUGCACUUCGCUGUGCGCGGCGCGGGACUCGGGACGUUUACUUUGAAAAAAUUAGAGUGUUCAAAGCAGGCUUUUCAAGCCCGGAUACGUGAGCAUGGAAUAAUGGAAUAGGACCGCGGUUCUAUUUUGUUGGUUUCUACGACCGCAGUAAUGAUUAAGAGGGACAAUUGGGGGCGUCCGUAUUUCGUUGUCAGAGGUGAAAUUCUUGGAUUUACGAAAGACGAACAACUGCGAAAGCAUUCGCCAAGAGUGUUUUCAUUAAUCAAGAAC
rnacentral:rRNA from 1 species